CCGAGUUCAUGCCCUUACGGGUAGAUCUCCCACCCUAUGUUAUAUUACCUUUGUUGCUUUGGCGGGCCGACAGGCUUCGGCCAGUCUACCGGCUCCGGCUGGUAAGCGCCCGCCAGAGGACCCCAAACUCUGAAUUUUAGUGUCGUCUGAGUACUAUCUAAUAGUUA
rnacentral:misc_RNA from 1 species